GGGCCCGCACAAGCGGUGGAGCAUGUGGUUUAAUUCGAUGCAACGCGAAGAACCUUACCUACUCUUGACAUCCUGCGAAUUUGGUAGAGAUACCUUAGUGCCUUCGGGAACGCAGAGACAGGUGCUGCAUGGCUGUCGUCAGCUCGUGUUGUGAAAUGUUGGGUUAAGUCCCGUAACGAGCGCAACCCUUGUCCUUAUUUGCCAGCGCGUAAUGGCGGGAACUCUAAGGAGACUGCCGGUGACAAACCGGAGGAAGGUGGGGACGACGUCAAGUCAUCAUGGCCCUUACGAGUAGGGCUACACACGUGCUACAAUGGUCGGUACAAAGGGUUGCCAACUCGCGAGAGUGAGCCAAUCCCGAAAAGCCGAUCUCAGUCCGGAUCGGAGUCUGCAACUCGACUCCGUGAAGUCGGAAUCGCUAGUAA
rnacentral:rRNA from 1 species